GGAAAGUGCUUUGAAUAGGUGGCUUUCAAUCCACACUUACUACCUUUGUACCGAGAUCUCUCUGACGCCAGUCAUCCAGCUUUUUGAUAUGGGCUGAAGCAGGCAGUGGCCACAUCAGAAUGGCCGGGGAUCCAAAACGCACAGGUUACACGGUAUAUAUCUGUGAGUUUUGACUAUGAUCGCAUCAUGCUGCCAGGGAUUCUCUUCUUUCUGUUGAAUUGGGUUGAGACGAUCAUGAACUCACACAAGGAGAAUAGUCAUUGCAUCAUGCUAAUGUUUGUCAUCUCCCUUUGAAGAGAUGAUAGGUUCAUCCAAGUGUAACACUGAUGAGGUGGUUUUCUACACACUCAAGAGAUCCAUUUGGGGUGAGAGAGGAAAAUUAGAAGACUAAUAAGACUCGCCUAAGUCUAACUCUCUGUGUGACUGGAAGGAUCAGAGUAGAGAAGAUCAUUUUACAGAUGAGGCAACUGAGAUAAACAAGGCUAUGUGACUUGUCCAGAUUGUACAGCUAGCAAGCGUCUGAGGUCGGAUUUGAACUCACAAAGAUAAUCCUUCCUGACUCCAGUCCUGGAAUUCUAUCCACUGUGCAAUCCAGCUGCUCCCCAAACAAGAUUCUACUGGACCAAGAUAUAAUGGGGCAAGAGGAGGACACAGAUGAUAAAAAUCAAUGCAUUUCCAGAACUCCUGACAUACACUUUAUCUACCAUGGAAUGCUAAGAGGGAUGCACAGUCAAUGUCAUGAUUCCUGAAAGUCUAAAUUCAGGCCCUUGAUGCCAGCCUAUAGCCAGGAAGAAGAAUCCAACAGCCAAGAAAAGAACAGAAGACUCUGGAAAGAUAAAGCAAUACUAUCCAUCAAUGGUAAAUCAUAACAUUAGUAGGCAGAGCCUUCCUUGUAAGAGACUAAUAUUUAGAUUGUAGGACAAUACAGAAGAAUGCUCUUAUUUAUAUAGAAGCUUUGGUUCAUUACUCACACUGUUUCUGUAAAAAUGAGAGAAUGACUAGCAAAGUGCUUUGAAAAGCAUACAGUAUUACAUAAAUGUGAGGUGGUUCUUAUUAUUAUAAUUAUCGCUACUAAUAAUAAUGGUCACAUAUAAUUUUUUUGAGUUACAAAGCGCCUUAUAGAAGUGACCAAUAGGCAAGCUGGUACCGUGGACAGAGAACUGGAGCUAGACCCUGGGUUCCUAUUCUGCCUAAGAUAUUUACUAGCUGUGUGACCCUGGACAAAUCACUGGACCUCUUCUUGCUUUAGUUCCUCAUCUAUAAAAAUGGGGAUAAUAAUAACACCAGGAUUGUUAUGAAGAUAAAAUGAGGCAAUCUUUAUAAUGUACUUUGCAAACCCUAAGGAGUUAGAGUAUAAAUGUUUGUUUUUCUAUUAUUAGGUCAUUUGAUAUUAUAACUAUUAUCAUUGUUAUGGAAUUGCAUCCUCAUUUCAGGCAAUGACCUUGCCGCCUUCAUACUCCUGUCUUCUCCAUGACAAGUAUAAUACAUUACAUACAGCAUGUACUUAAUAAAUGUUUGUUGUUUCUUUGAACCA
rnacentral:lncRNA from 1 species